UACGAAGGGGGCUAGCGUUGUUCGGAAUCACUGGGCGUAAAGCGCACGUAGGCGGAUCUUUAAGUCGGGGGUGAAAUCCCGAGGCUCAACCUCGGAACUGCCUUCGAUACUGGCGACCUUCGAGUCCGGGAGAGGUGAGUGGAACUCCGAGUGUAGAGGUGAAAUUCGUAGAUAUUCGGAAGAACACCAGUGGCGAAGGCGGCUCACUGGCCCGGUACUGACGCUGAGAUACGAAAGCGUGGGGAGCAAACAGG
rnacentral:rRNA from 1 species